CCUACGGGCGGCAGCAGUGGGGAAUAUUGGACAAUGGGCGAAAGCCUGAUCCAGCCAUGCCGCGUGUGUGAAGAAGGCCUUCGGGUUGUAAAGCACUUUCAGUGGGGAAGAAAGCCUUGGGGCUAAUACCCUCGAGGAAGGACAUCACCCACAGAAGAAGCACCGGCUAACUCCGUGCCAGCAGCCGCGGUAAUACGGAGGGUGCGAGCGUUAAUCGGAAUUACUGGGCGUAAAGCGCGCGUAGGCGGUCUGAUAAGCCGGUUGUGAAAGCCCCGGGCUCAACCUGGGAACGGCAUCCGGAACUGUCAGGCUAGAGUGCAGGAGAGGAAGGUAGAAUUCCCGGUGUAGCGGUGAAAUGCGUAGAGAUCGGGAGGAAUACCAGUGGCGAAGGCGGCCUUCUGGACUGACACUGACGCUGAGGUGCGAAAGCGUGGGUAGCAAACAGGGUUAGAUACCCUAGUAGUC
rnacentral:rRNA from 1 species